CACGCACAUACGCGCCCGAAGCCCGGUAGCGCUGUUGUUGACACGCGCGAGCGCGCUCUGUCAAGGGUCAGGGCACCUGAGCCCCUGUCUAAGAUCCACAAUGGAAAUAUCCAGCUGUGGAGACAACCUUGGAGCUCCUGGAUCCAUUGGCUAGAGCUGACUGGAAGUAAGAGAAGCAUUCUGUAUCUAUACCCUCUCAGGGAAGAUAACCAAGAAGAAGAGGAGACCCAGUCCUAGCCUGGCUUGCCAAAAUACAUGGACCUCAAUGAAAUCAUUUGGACAGUGCAGAGCUGAGGUAAAAUAUGAACUCCUACAUUGGCAGACCCUAAAGAUGCUUCAUCUUCUGAUGUUUACGUCUUAACCUCAUGGAAGUGUAGGACCACAGUGUAAAAGGGUACUGCCAUUUGUCUCUGUCAACAUGAGUUUGAGUUUC
rnacentral:lncRNA from 1 species